rnacentral:rRNA from 1 species
UACGUAGGGGGCUAGCGUUGUCCGGAAUCAUUGGGCGUAAAGAGCGUGUAGGCGGUCCGGUAAGUCCGCUGUGAAAGUCGGGGGCUCAACCCUCGAAUGCCGGUGGAUACUGUCGGGCUAGAGUGCGGAAGAGGCGGAGUGGAAUUCCUGGUGUAGCGGUGAAAUGCGCAGAUAUCGGGAGGAACACCAGUAGCGAAGGCGGCUCGCUGGGCCAUUCCUGACGCUGAGACGCGAAAGCUAGGGGAGCGAACAGG